GACGAACGCUGGCGGCGUGCUUAACACAUGCAAGUCGAGCGGUAAGGCCCUUUCGGGGGUACACGAGCGGCGAACGGGUGAGUAACACGUGGGUGACCUGCCCUCAGCUCUGGGAUAAGCCUGGGAAACCGGGUCUAAUACCGGAUAUGACUCCAUGACGCAUGUUGUGGGGUGGAAAGCCUUGUGCGGCUGAGGAUGGGCCCGCGGCCUAUCAGCUUGUUGGUGGGGUGAUGGCCUACCAAGGCGACGACGGGUAGCCGGCCUGAGAGGGCGACCGGCCACACUAGGACUGAGACACGGCCCAGACUCCUACGGGAGGCAGCAGUGGGGAAUCUUGCGCAAUGGGCGAAAGCCUGACGCAGCGACGCCGCGUGAGGGAUGACGGCCUCGG
rnacentral:rRNA from 1 species